rnacentral:rRNA from 1 species
GAUGAACGCUGGCGGCGUGCCUAAUACAUGCCAGUCGAGCGAACAGACGAGGAGCUUGCUCCUCUGACGUUAGCGGCGGACGGGUGAGUAACACGUGGAUAACCUACCUAUAAGACUGGGAUAACUUCGGGAAACCGGAGCUAAUACCGGAUAAUAUAUUGAACCGCAUGGUUCAAUAGUGAAAGACGGUUUUGCUGUCACUUAUAGAUGGAUCCGCGCCGCAUUAGCUAGUUGGUAAGGUAACGGCUUACCAAGGCGACGAUGCGUAGCCGACCUGAGAGGGGGAUCGGCCACCCUGGAACUGAGACACGGUCCAAACUCCCACGGGGGGCAGCAGUAGGGAAUCUUCCGCAAUGGGCGAAAGCCUGACGGAGCAACGCCGCGGGAGUGAUGAAGGUUUUCGGAUCGUAAAACUCUUUUAUUAGGGAAAAAAAAAUGUGUAAGUAACUAUGCCCGUCUUGACGGGACCAAAGCAGAAAGCCACGGCUAACUACGU